rnacentral:rRNA from 1 species
AAAGGGUGCGUAGGCGGGCAAUUAAGUCAGUGGUGAAAUCUUGGGGCUCAACCCCGAAACUGCCAUUGAUACUAUUUGUCUUGAAUACUGUGGAGGUUAGCGGAAUAUGUCAUGUAGCGGUGAAAUGCUUAGAUAUGACAUAGAACACCGAUUGCGAAGGCAGCUGGCUACACAAGCAUUGACGCUGAGGCACGAAAGCGUGGGGAUCAAACAGGAUUAGAUACCCGGGU